UUUUCAGUUUUCCUCGGUAGUUAACUACACCCAGUUCCAUAAUUCGGCAGUUAACUACCGAAGGACAU
rnacentral:pre_miRNA from 1 species